rnacentral:lncRNA from 1 species
UGGUGUGUUCUUCGGGAGAAGUCGUGUGGAAUAUCACGCUCCUGAUGGAAAUUUCCCUGCUUCCAUUUGAACAAGGAGCACAAGCCUGCAACAACCAUAAUAAAAGGUGGAUCAAGUCAGGAUACCUGGACUGAUGACCUUUUGAGAAGAAUAAAUCUUAAUUGGUGACUUUUGCAGUUGCAUGACAGUUCUUGGCAAAGUUGCCAAACCUUCAAAAUUAUUACUAUAUGUUUAUCACAUAUGGUACAGUAGGAUACGAACAAAUUAUGUGUGAAUCUUUUUUAGUUAGGUUGGCUACAAUCUGAACGAAGACAACAAUCGAAGUUUGCUAGGUGUAGGUGGUGCAGAGAAUCUUUCUGUUAUAUGGGAGUAUGGAACUGACUCCUGUACCUUCUCAAUCAUCUGAAUUUCUUUAUCGUCCGAAUUUUCCUACCAUCAUCAGCCCAUCAGUCUUCAUCACCUCUCUUGACAUUUUGUGCCUGAAAUAUCUUCCCUCAUCUGAUGUCUACCUAACAAGGUUCCUGUACAAAUUCACACCAUGAUCACGUUUUCGUACUUAAUUAUCCUCACCGUUUCGUCAGCUUCCAGGGUCGGUAGCCAUGUAUUUCAAACGAAAACGUGUGUCCAGUUCUCGACUUUUCGGCUUGACGAAGAAGACCGUCGCCCAAAAUCUGCACAUUUUCACACUUGGGCCAUUUUCAUUUUACAUGCCGGUUUUUACCGUGAUCAGAAACUUUUCAGAAUUCAUACUUAACAGUAACAGAUUAGGCGAAUUUCGGAAGAGUUUUGGCGUACCUUGCGUGCGAAUUGGAUCGGAAAUCAUGUGGAUGAUAUGCUGGUCUCCAAGGCCUGUGGCUGAUCGUUUCAGUUGGGCUAUGAGCUGGACCUGUGAUUCUCAUGACCGUGAGGUUGAUGUGCUGAAGCAGCUCGAUCUGGCAACCGGAGAUACGGUAUCAGGAUGGUUCUCGGCGCCGGAUUUGUGGUUGCCUUGAGCUCAGGUCGGGGUCGCUAACAUGGAUGUCUCGGCAACCAAUCAAAUCAAAUUCAUCUGUAGAAAAAUGAGAGGAAAACCACACAUAUCAAUGGCGUGAGUAGCGACUUCAGUUGAGUCGAAAGAUCAAACUGGGACAUUUCAGUGGUUACCGCUGGCCAACAUGCUUGGAACGCAGAAAUUUUUAUUUACUCAUGUGAGAAUUGAAAUGUCUUAAACCCUG